GGUGAACGCUGGCGGCGUGCCUAAUACAUGCAAGUCGAGCGGACAGACAUGGAGCUUGCUCUUCUGCGGUUAGCGGCGGACGGGUGAGUAACACGUGGAUAACCUGCCUGUAAGACUGGGAUAACUUCGGGAAACCGGAGCUAAUACCGGAUAAUACCGCCAACCGCAUGGUCCACGGGUGAAAGGCGGCUUUUCCGCUACUUAUAGCCGGUGUGGCGCCGGAUUAGCUAGUUGGUAAGGUAACGGCUUACCAAGGAAACGAUGCGUAGCUGACCUGAUGGGGUGAUCGGCCACACUGGAACUGAGACACGGUCCAGCCUCCUACGGGAGGCAGCAGUGGGGAAUCUGCGGCAAUGGGCGAAAGCCUGAGGGAGCACUACCGCGUGGGUGAUGAAGGCCUUCGGAUCGUAAACCCCUGUUAUUAGGACAGAACAGCUGCGUACGAAUAUAUCGGCGUCUUGACGGUACCUCACGAGAAAGCCCCGGCUAACUACGUG
rnacentral:rRNA from 1 species